UACGUAGGGGCCGAGCGUUGUCCGGAGUUAUUGGGCGUAAAGCGCGCGCAGGCGGCUUCGCGCGCCCGACGUGAAAGCCCCCGGCUUAACCGGGGAGGGUCGUUGGGGACGGCGGGGCUUGAGGGCGGGAGAGGUCGGUGGAAUUCCCGGUGUAGUGGUGAAAUGCGUAGAGAUCGGGAGGAACACCUGUGGCGAAGGCGGCCGACUGGGCCGACCCUGACGCUGAGGCGCGAAGGCGUGGGGAGCGAACGGG
rnacentral:rRNA from 1 species